AGAGAGAGAGAGAGAGUUGACCUGGAUGAGACGACAGCUUCAUGGAUCUUCUUGUAAGAAUCACGCGGAGCUCGCCUUCUCUCCCUUUGAAAAUGCAUAUCAAAACCGCAGCUCUUUUCUUCCUCAUUUCCUUCGUCAUUGAAGGCUUCGGAUUGAAGGAGUCGAGUUUGAUUGGGCAGUUUUCCUUGAUGCGAUCUUCAUCCAUGGCGAUAAUGUUUAUUAAUUUUCGAACAAAAAUUGCUAGCAUUUAUAAAGAAAAGUGAUAAGUGGAUGUAGGUUUCUAGUUAUGUCGCGACACAUUGUAGAUAGAAAAAAGGGUGAAGAAUGAAAUCUUGUGUUGUUCGGAAUAAAAAAAAUGGUGAUUUUGAUUGAAGAUUCUUGAUUGUGAGGAGAGAAUUUUUGGGUUGAGAAUAUGGCGUGGCUUGAAAAAGUAUGAACCCAUUACUUUAAGAAUUUGAUUCCUACAAUUUAUAACGACAUCAUGAGUUUUUGGUCGAUAGAUCCUCUUUGCAUACUGUGUUACAUUUAAUAUUUUCGUAUUUAUACGCCGUAUGUAUUGGACGAUAUAUUUUGUACCUAAGUUGAAAUAGAGUUGAAAAAUGAAAUACCAUAGACUUGUCGAUUUAGAUUAUUUAUUUAUUUAUUUAAAAGGAGGGUUGAUAAUAGUUUUCAUUUCUCUCUCGAUUGAUUCAUCGUAUUAAUGAUUAAAUGGAAACGUUUUACCAAUUGAAUUGUGGUGAUCAUGUUUUUAAAAGAUUAAAUACUUUCUUCGUCCAUCAAAAAUAUGAUAAUUUUUAUGUUGCGGACUAUUAUAUAUGAAAUGAAUGGUUGAGAUUGAAUUAAGGAUGUUUUUUUUUUUUGUAAAUAAGAUACUAUUUGUUAGGAUAAAAAAAAAGAAAAAAAAAAGUGGGAUCAUAUCUUAAAAUGGAAAGUGUCAUAAUUUUUGUGAACACCCAAAAUGAUAAAAGUAUUGUCAUAUUUUUCGUAGAAGUAGGGAGUAACUAUAAAUAUAAUUAUGUUGUGAAUUAUAAUUAGGAACAUUCUUAAAAUAGGGAAAUCAAAUUUAGAUAUAAGUAUUCCAAACACAUUAUAAGUCGAAAGAAGAUAAUCAAUCUAAUCCGAUUGAUUAUGUAUACAAAUUAAAUUAAAGUAUAGUGUGAAUUAUCAUGUAUACAAUUCGAUCGAUUCCCACAAAAUUUGAAGGACAAAAUAAAGGCUUAAUUAAUUUUUAUUUAUUACUGGUAAGGUCCCAGGUCUAAAUAUUUAAUAGUAUAUGCUAAUUAGCCCCACUCCACUAUACUUAGCCUGAAAAGAGGGUUAACUACAUUAAUCCUAACUAUAUACAAAAAUAGUUAAUCUCACUGUUGUAUCCACUUUCCUACACUGCAUUAUUGUUGUCUAUAUAGAUACUAUCAUUGUUAAUUAACACCAACCCUGUCCUAGCUAAGGACAUAACCACGAAAAUUUGAUGCAAAAUUUAAUUAAGUGGAAAAAAGAAUUAAACUCCUUAAUUCUGAGAUUGACUUUCCUAAUAUCGUGGGAAAGUGAGUAAAUAAUUGGGUAAUAUUCUUCAUGACAAAAUAUAUAAUUAUAAUUAAUUUUGAAACAUUAUAUAUAAAAAUCAAAACAUCCUUGGAAAGAUGAAGGAUGAUGAGUCGGAUAUAUUAAUGCUACAAUUUGAGUGGUAGAAUAAUUAGUAAGUCUAGUCACAACUCACAAGUGGGAUUAGAUGAGGUAAGAGGCGUAAGCCUACAUCUUAUCCAAUAGAAUAUCCAGUGCUUUAUUAUAUUAUUGAAUUGAAUAAGUAUUUAAUGAAUGCCACCAUUUUAGUUUAACAUUGUUUGCAAUGCUAUUCAUUAAAAUAUAAUGUUUUUUGUAUUGUAUAUCAGUUGGCCUAUUAGCUCAGUUGGUUAGAGCGUCGUGCUAAUAACGCGAAGGUCGCAGGUUCGAAACCUGCAUGGGCCAAUUUUUGUUUUUUGUGUUCUUUUCCUGAAAUUUUAAUUUUUAAAAUUACUUAUUGCUUUUUAAAACAUUAAUCUACAUAANNNNNNNNNNNNNNNNNNNNNNNNNNNNNNNNNNNNNNNNNNNNNNNNNNNNNNNNNNNNNNNNNNNNNNNNNNNNNNNNNNNNNNNNNNNNNNNNNNNNNNNNNNNNNNNNNNNNNNNNNNNNNNNNNNNNNNNNNNNNNNNNNNNNNNNNNNNNNNNNNNNNNNNNNNNNNNNNNNNNNNNNNNNNNNNNNNNNNNNNNNNNNNNNNNNNNNNNNNNNNNNNNNNNNNNNNNNNNNNNNNNNNNNNNNNNNNNNNNNNNNNNNNNNNNNNNNNNNNNNNNNNNNNNNNNNNNNNNNNNNNNNNNNNNNNNNNNNNNNNNNNNNNNNNNNNNNNNNNNNNNNNNNNNNNNNNNNNNNNNNNNNNNNNNNNNNNNNNNNNNNNNNNNNNNNNNNNNNNNNNNNNNNNNNNNNNNNNNNNNNNNNNNNNNNNNNNNNNNNNNNNNNNNNNNNNNNNNNNNNNNNNNNNNNNNNNNNNNNNNNNNNNNNNNNNNNNNNNNNNNNNNNNNNNNNNNNNNNNNNNNNNNNNNNNNNNNNNNNNNNNNNNNNNNNNNNNNNNNNNNNNNNNNNNNNCUGAAAUUUUCUUUUCGAAAUUAUUUACUGCUCCACCCAAUUUUCUUAUUUUUCUGUGUUCUUUUCCUGAAUUAUUUACUGCUCCUUUUUUCUCAAUACGAUAAGAUAUACGUAUGAUUAUAUGAAGUGUUAUCUCCGAAUUUUUUCCUUAUUUUUUUGGAUUUUUACUUUUUUUCUUGUUAUUUUUUCCUGAAAUUUUCUUUUCGAAAUUAUUUACUGCUCCUCUUUUUCUCAAUACGGCAAGAUAUGAGACGUUUAAUAUGUUGAGUCGUUGACUAUAUAUUAUGUACCUUUUUAUGGAUUGAUAACAUUCUUUUCAAACCUAUAUUCGUAACAAAAAAAAAUAGUAUACACUUCAGUCAAAAAAAAUAAAAAAAAUUAAUAUACACUAGUACUCCCUCCGUCCCGCGAGUCUUGACACGUUUUCCUUUUUGGGCCGUCCCACGAAUCUUGACACGUUUCCUUUUUUGGCAAUAAUUAUUAAAUUCUCUCUCCUACUUUAUCACCUUUAUUAUAUUCUCUCUCAUACUUUAUCACUUUUAUUACCUUCUCUCUCCUACUUUAUCAAUUUUAUACUUUAUUAAUUACACACUUAAAACACUAAUCUACAACUCCUUAAUUCCCGUGCCGAACCCAAACGUGUCAAGACUCGCGGGACGGAGGGAGUAAUACUUUUGAAAAUACUCUCCUUUAUUAUUAUACGGGCUGAUAUGAAGAAAUUCAUUUUAUUAUUUUAGGAUCGAUACAAAUGUACCUAUACUACCCUAAAGAAGAAGAAAAGGAUAUAUAUUUUUUUUAUUAAAGAGAGAGAAUAUAUAAUCAAUAGAGUAAUUCUUCGAAUUAAAGUAUUUAAUUUGGAGGGAGAUUUUAUUAUUAAUUAAUUCAUUAUUCUAUAGCUUGUGCAUAUGCUUCACAUUCAGCUUCGUGCCCUAGCUAGCUUGGGUACAUACUAAUGAUUUGUGUUAAAACUGUGUGUGCAUGAGAAAUUAACGAAAUAUUUGAAGACUUUAGAUAAAAUGGAAACCUCAAUGCAUGGUUAUAAUUAACUUAUCAUGGAUAUUAAGAUAUAGAAUAAUAGAAACAAUAUACUCGCAUGACCAUUUCAAAGAACGAAACACAAUAUUUGACCACUAAUUAAAAAAAUACAAAAUUUGAUCAUUUUUUACGUUUUAGAAUUAUUUUGCCCUUAAUUAGGGCAGACCAAAUUUUGGUCAGAUUUGAGUUUGCGCGUGGGUUAGACACACAUGGCACUACUAGUGUCAUAUACUCAGUGCUGCACGAAUGAUACUUAUGACCAUAUUAAUGCCAUAUAUCCGCGUGCUGAUAUUAUUUAGAUGGGUAUAGUUAUAUGACCAUUUUGAACACUUUCUCAUAGGGUUUAGAUUAUUCAUUUAGGAUUUAGAUUAUCCAUUUAGGGUUUAGAUUAUCCAUUUAGGGUGUUGCACGAAUGGUAUUUAUGUUCAUAUUAGUGUCAUUAGUGCCAUAUACUCUCUCAUGUAGUGUUGCACGAAUAGGUACUUAUGGUCAUAUUAGUGUCAUUAGUGUCAUAUACUUAGAUUUUUUGUAUUCGGUUGGCACAUAUGACAUUAAUAGUGCCAUAUGUGUCUAAUCCACGCACAAACCCGAAUUCGACCCGAAUCCAGUCCGCCCUAAUUAAGGGCAAAACAGUCUUAACACGUAAUAAAUGGCCAGAUUUUAUGUUUUUUCAAUUAGUGGCUAAAUAUUGUGUUUCCUUCUUCCAAAUUACUAUUUCAAAAGCGCUCUCUAAUAUAUAGCCAAAGAUUGAAAUGGUGUUUUAUAAAUUUUGAUUCAUAAGGAACGUAAUAUAUAUGUUAUCUAAAGGUCAAACCUACAUAAAGUUUAUUUGGUGGAAUAUAUUUUUUCUUUUUCCGAGUCCCAAAAAUUAAGUUCUCCGGAGAGGGAGAGAGAAUUAUGUAGCUAAUAUGCAAAUGUCAAAUGAGAAAUAUCUAAAUAUAUAUAUAUAUAUAGAGGUGGGACUAAAAUAGAAAACUAACCUUUUAAAAUAUACAAAAUAAGAACUUAUUUUAAGCUCUUAGAUCAUUAAGAUCUACGGUUGAUUCAUCACCUUGUUGAAUGAAUUCAUGAUNAAUUAGGAACUAUUUUCACCCAUUAGAUUAUCAAGAUCUACGGUUGAUGCAUCACCUUGUUGAAUGAAUUCAUGGUCCCGAGUUCGAAUCCCAUAGAUAACAAAAUUUAUUUUCGUAAUUUAUACAUUUACACAGCGAAUUCAUACGUGUUCUACAUAGAAUUUAUAUAUUUUAGCUAGUUCUAUUUUAUAUGUGAAGAAAUGUUUAUACCGUAUCUCUCCCCAUAUAUAUAUAUAUAUAUAUAUAUAUAUAUAUAUAUAUAUAUAUAUAUAUAUAUAUAUAUAUAUAUAUCCAACUUCACUAAUUAGAGUUCCUAUCCCCUUUUCAAUAAAUAUAGCCCAAACAAGAUGUUAUAACAGGCACAACAAGGAUAUAUAUAACUUAUUAAUUUACAUUAAUUAAUACAUUAUUCUUGAACCAUGCACUACUUAUCUUGUUACUACUUAAAGUUAAAUAACAAAUUCCAACAUAUGUCACGCUAUAAUCACCAGAAAUGAAGCUAUAGCUAGGUCUUACGAUCAUGCUCACAUUUAGAAAAUUAAAAUAAGAUUUCAAUAAUUAACAUUGCAUCAUUCACACAUGCAGAAACAAAACUUUUAAGUUUAAUUCCCAUUUUAUUAAUUAUCAUGUUAAUCAACUGUCAUUACCAACACAGAAAUUUUGGACAAAAGCCAUAGUUAAUUUUAUCAUCCCAAGAAAUAUAACCAGCUAGCUAGACUUUGCAAAACCAAACAGCACAUAAAUCAAAAGUGAUGAGAAACAAAACAUUUUUGUACUAUAUAUUGUUAUUACCAAAUAAAUGUUGGUGCUACAAGACAAUCAGAAAUGAUCAAUGCAUAUAUAUAUCUUUUUCAUUAGAAACAAGUACCUCAAGAUCUCACUUAGAAUUUUUCACCUACAUUCAUAGAGUCAGAUCCAGAGUACUCGCCCCUCUUGCUUUCUCAUCACCAACAUUUACAAAAUCCCCCUUCAUCUUCUUCGCCACCCGAUCCUUGGAAGGUUCUGGAAACGUGUAGAGCGACAACCCUAAGUGUUCGUCACCAUCAUCAUCAUCGUCGUCGUCGUCUUCAUCAUCAUUUCUUGAUUCGAGCCCAAGUGAUAGAUUCAGAUCGAGUAGUUCAGCAUCGGAUGCCUUUCUCUUGAGCCCUAAUUUCUCCCUCUCUUGGCUCAGAAUUUGGGUCAAAUUUGGAGGGCUGCUUCUUUUUUCUUGAAGUUUUUGCUUCAAUGAGUCGAUCUCAAUAGGGUUUUGUAUGGUUUGACCUAGCCAGGGUUCUUGCUUGUGAAUUAGCCCUAAUUUCUCUUCUUUCAAGCGGGUGUCGUCGUUUCGCCACGCUGAUCCGUUGAGAGAGGGGAGUCUAGUGUAAUGGCUGCUCAAGAAUCUCUCUGCGUAGAACCCUGGUCUUGUUAUGCUUCUUGAAUUCAGCCCUAUUGCUGAAUUGUGCAUCCAAGUGGGAUCUCCAUACCUUGAGAAAAUUAAUUUGGGGUUAUUUGAAGAAAUAUUGAAUUAGUGACUAACAUUUUGUAACAAAGUAAUGAAUUAACCCUAGCUAAAAGCACGCGCGCACACACACAAGAGAAGAGGGAGCAUCAGUGUGCGUGUGUUGUUGGUGGAAUGGUUAAUGCCGUCUAAGGUUAAAGAUCUUAAGUUCUAAGUUCAGAGUCACACGAUCUUUCAAAAUAUUUGUUCACACAUAAAGAAAAUGAAAAAAGAAUUUCUUUGCAGAUCCCAUUUAUUAGUAGUACCUGAGGUUGGAAUUUGGCCUUUGAUUAAAGCUUGGAAGAAGAGGGAGCUGGCUUAGAUUGAAUAUGUUCCGAUCUACACCUUCCAUGAAUUUUAGCCCUAUAAGGAAAAGGGUUUUUCAGAUAUAUAUCGGACUUCAAAACCUUAGUAACAUGAGAGAGCUAGAGAGAGAGAGAGAGAUGUACCUUGGUUGGAUUCAUCAGUCUUCUUGCUUCUAUACAUCUGUAAAAUCACAACGACAAGAUUCCACACUCAAAUUAAUUCAUCUCUCAUAUAGUUUUUUUNUUAAAAUUAUUUUGGUUUAAAGUUUCUACAAACAACCGAUUUAAUCAGCUCCACUAACCUGCAAAUGGCUCUUGACAUGAGCAAUAUUCAGCCCUUUGAUGCCCAUCAAUUGAAGCACUAAUUUUGGCGUAGCUCCUGCAUCAAAUUUAGAACAAAUAUGAGAUCAAAAUUCAAACAUUUCCAACCACUCAAAUCACUUCCAAUACUAAGUCAAAAAUUAAUCUGAAUUAAUGACUUGAAUUAUAUAGAAGAAAUAAAUUAAUUAAUAUACACAAUUAGACUUACUAUCUUGGCCUCCGAGUCUUUCCACCGCGUGAACAAAGCGCAGGUGGAGCUCCGGCGUCCACCGCAGCCUCGGCAUCUUCGACCGGACAUAAGGCCUCACCGGCGGCUUCUUGUCGCUCUCCUCCACCGUGCUGUUGCUCGAGCUCCCUCCGUCUUUCGCCUCCUCGAAGCUUAACUCGUUUUGCUCUUCGCUCUCAUCUUCAUCAUCCAUUCCCUCGCAAGGGCUUCUUUUCAGACAUUCUUUUUCACUAAUUUCCAUUCUUUUUGUUUUUUGGGAUUUUUUUUCUCACUCUUGAAUUCACAGACAAAAGAUCACACAGAAAAUGGGAUUAAUUCACAUACUAUGAUCCAUCAAUUGAUGGGAACUAGCUAGGGCUUUCUUACAACCUCAAGAUCAUGUUGGAGAAGAUGAGAAAUCCAAGAAAAAUAGGGUGUAGAAUCUUGAUCUACAACUCUGCAUAGAUGAGAUUAAUGAAGAAACCCUAGAACGUUAGUAAGAGGAAGAUGAGAGAGUUCUUCCCUGCUCUUUCUCUUUCCUCUCUCUUUGUCCCUCAAAAACUAAUAAUAUAUCUAUGGAAAAUCAAAGGGAAUCUGGUUAAUUAAUAAACAUAUAUAUACAUAUAUAUGCAUGUAUAUAUGUGCAUGUGUGUGUGUAUGCAUGCAUAUCAAUUCUUGAUGGAGAUGUGAAGGGUUAUGCAUUCAUGUGAAGCCAGUUCAUGACUAUUCUCCACCUUGUAAAAAAAAGUAAAAAUCUCCCACGGACUUUGAAUAUAUAUUAUUUUUAAUUAUUUAUUGUGUAUAAGGUUUGGAUCAAGUUGAUCCCAUCCUUCCAUAGUAUCGUAAUAUCAUGCAUUUUUGUGUGUAAAUGUUUUUUGUGUUUAACAUUAUGCAUUUUUAUAUUUAACAUUAUAUGCACUCUUAAGGAGAUUUAGCUUAAGGGAUUUAUAUAAUCUCUUUAUAUCAUGGUUAGGCUGCUACAAACUCAUUUUAAAAUAGGAACUAUGUACUUCCUCCGUCUCACUUCAUUUGGCCCAAUUUCCUUUUUGGGUCGUGACUUGGCAUGUUUCCUUUUUAAACAAUAAAAUUUCAAUACAAUAGAUAUGAGUUCACAUACUUAAAUUAUAAUCUUAAUCUCCUUAAUAACUGUGCCAAAAAAUUAGGUCAAGUGAGAUGAGACGAAUGAGGUAUAAACUAUGAAAUUAUGAUUAGAAAAAACGUACCCCUUAUGAUAAAGUAAGUAAAUUCAUUGUAGAUCUUCAUGAACUAAAUGCCCGAGAAUAAGUCCUAAUUUAUAUUUUAAAAUGAGUUUUUAUUUUAGUCUAACCUUUUCUCUCUUUUUAUAUUUAGUGGUUCUUUCUUGAACCUCUCCUAGGGUGUGGUUCUAGAGAGAACUACAUUAUUUGUGAGAACCAUCAAAUUUAAUGCAUCCACUGUAAAAAUUAAUGCAUUCGCUGUUAAAAUUAAUGCACUCAAAAAAAUAAAAAAAAUUGCCCCUUUAAGAUUUGAACCCAGGAUCUGCAUUCAUCCAACAAGAUGAUGCAUCCACCGUAGAUCUUGAUGAUCGAAUGACUGAAAAUGAUUCUCCGUUCUUUUAUUUAGUGGUUAUUUCUUGAACCUAUAUGUUGAAGUUAAUUUUUAACUCCAGUAUUAUUUUGUUUUGCCUUUCAUCACGUUUUUGCAGGCCUUAAAACAAAGUCAAAGUUAGUUCCUACAAGAUAGGAAACAUGGAGAAAUGAAGAGAAGGGGUUGAGAGAGUUAGUUCCUAAAAUCAUGGAUAAAACCCUAAACUACCUCAACCUCCACUACUCCACUUGUUGCAACCACGUUUUCAGCCUUGAAGAGCAAGAUUGGAGUUGUCUAUAAAAGCUGAGGAAGUUCCCUCAGUCUGACCAGAGCUUACAGAGAGAAAUCAAGCCAUGUAGGGCAAUUGUGUACGAGUGUGAUUCUGUAUGUUGGGAUGACAUCAGAGUCAACACCCGUUGUUUUAUUUGUAAGGUUUCGGAGUAUUACUCUUGAACCGAGUUUUGUUUUUUAGUGAGAGUGUCGUAUGUUCAAUACCUAUGUCGUUGUAAAGGUAUUGAACGUGAGUUGUUCAUUCUCGAUUUAGUCAUUUUGCCAUGAGGCGUCUUCAAGUUAUAAUUUAUAACUUGAAGAAUUUUUGUAUCUCCUUGUGUCUUCUCCCAUUUUUAUUUAUUUCCGCUGCUUUAUACUCUGUAUUUUUGUGCGUGCUGUUCCAACACUCUGCACAACAUUUUUGUUCCAGACGAAGCAACACUAACACUAUAUAACAUGGAUAUGUAACAUCUUGUAUGCAAGGCUCUUUUUGUAUAGAUCUAUAAUAUUACUCCCACAUACACAAAGCCUUUUGUAUAGGUAAACAAGACUCUUAAGUGAUUUAUAUAGAGGUAUAGAUGUAGCCAAAUAAGAUGUUAUUUAUGUUGUAUAAAAACUAUCCUAUGCCAUGUAAAAAAAUAUUUCGAAUCAAUUUGUUUAUUUUUUAGUAGCAAACAUAAGGCGAAGUCCCGAACAAUAGACUUUACAUUUUGAAUGUAUUUUGGUAAUCAAUAUCCGAAAGAAACAGCAGCCUUGACUAAGAGACCAAACAACAAAAAAGGAGCAGAGAAGAAAGGGCUGUGAUCACUCUCCAAAACAUACACAUAUGAAGGCGCCCAUUUCUUGAUCAUGGCCUCUUGCUGCUCUGCUUUUAUAACAUUAUCCUGCGUCGUUUUGAUGUAGAUUCGGGCCACUUGCUCUUCAUCUUUCUCAGCUACUGGAAAUUUAGCUGUUACUAGUGCCUGAAUUGGGCCCGGCCUUAGCAGCAUCGCUGCUAAUGUCGCAUCCUGCAAUUCAUAUACAUCAAUCAACCAAUUAAUUAGGCAGGAGUAUUACGUAAUUAGAAGCAUUUAAUUUUAAUUACCUCCUGAGGGGAUAGGUUGUAAAUGAUCUUCCGCUGUAAUUCCCUUUUAAUAAUUGUUGAAGUCGGAGGAUUACCUUCUCCUAAUCCAAACCCAAUAUCAUAUACUUCAUUCAAUUCUCCAAAUCCUGACAAAUCUGGCACUCCCUGUAUCACACAAUGGAUUAUCCACGCACCAAAAUAUUUCGCUUACAUAUAAUAUACCACUAUCCAUCCUUAAAACUUUAAAUUAUUCAUGUGUCAUUUCUUCAAAAGUCCUAAAUUAUUUGGAUUUGGGGAAAUAAUUGCAAGCUUACUUUAUUUUAGUGAGUCUUUUUCAUUAUAUCCAACAUGUCUUAUACGAUUCUUUUUCUUUUUCACUUUUCACUACUUUCAACUUUAAUGGAAUCCAAUCAACCAUUCAUCUUUUAAUGCGUUCCUACAAUCUUAGGACAUUGAUAUAAUAAAAUGAAAAUCAUUAUCAAAAUGAUAUCCCCCUACCUUUGCAUAUUUGCAUCCAUAGUAGUAAGAAUGAAUGCCAUCAAUAAAUAGAGGGUUAAGUGUCUCGAACUUUGGAGCAUUCUUUCAAAAAAUGACUUGAAUUUCGCUUGAGAUGGUAAUUUUUUUUACCUCAUUUAUUAUAUAUUCACACAGACACCUCGCUAGUUAUUUCAAUUUUUUGGUGCCAAAUUCUCGACCAUGAGCCACAAUUUUUCUAUAAAAUUUGAAUGAAAAUUUAGAUAAUUCUUAAAAGGUGUUUCAAAAUUUAUGUCAUAAACUAUAAUACUUUUAUGCAAUGAUUAAAUCUAACAGAAAAAAAACUUUAUACAAUGAUUUAUAGUAUUAACUAUUAAGCAUAGAAGGCGUAAAUGAUAGUAGUAUAAAGUAAACAUAAACGUGAAAUGAUUUUAGUAUUAACUAUUAAGCAUAGCGUGCGUAAAUGAUAGUAGUAUAAAGUAAACAUAACACGUGAAAUGAUUUUAGAUGGAUAUAUAGGAAUAGGAAUAGGAAUAGGACUCAGACAAAGGCCUGAAUUUUGUGACAGUAGUAAUUCUUUGGAACCAUCCAAUGUUGUUGGCAUCACGUCACAUCUUAAACCUAUUCCCAGUGAAAAGCCCAAUUUUGAAUAAUUCCCUAUUCAUUUUCAAUUUAUGGUGUCUUUUAUUUUAGGGAGGGAGGUGAAAAAUACAUUCUCUCUGUAUAAAAAGAGAAUGCUUAGUGCAUAUUUAUAGGUCUUUAUGAGCUCGAAUAACUAAAUAAUUUAGAUUAUUUAUGCAUCUAAUACUUCAAAUUACUCAUUCCGUCCCACUUAUCUUGAGAUAGUUUUCAUUUUGAGCGUCCCAACUAUCUUGAGAUCUUUCUUUAUCUAACAAAAAAAUUAUCCUAUAUUCACAUUUUCACUUUUUCAUCUAUACACAAAACACUACUUUCAUAAUUCUCAUGCCAAAAAAAAGGUCUCAAGAUAGUAGGAAUGAAGGGAGUAUUAAUUAAGAAGGUUCGAGAUAAAACCAACGCUCUCUCUUAUUAUAGUAUUUCUCUUUGAAAAACAACCUCACCUCACCCUUGAGAUAAUUAAAUUUUAAUGAUACAAUAACUAUUCAUUGUAUUUUUUAUCUUACUUUUAUUAAUCAAUUCAUUUUCAAAUAUUAAUAUCAAACAAGUGCUUAGUUUGUUCGGUAUGAGUUUUAAUAAAUGUUAGGUGAAUGUGUUGUAAGUGGGGAAAGUGAGGAUAAAAGAAUAAGGCAUUAGUGGUAGGAUCAUGUCAAAAAAUGGGCUCUUCAUAUUCUUCUGAGACGGACGAACAAGAAAAGUGAGCAAUGAGCAUACUCCGCUGUGAGAGAGGGAGUAUAUUUUGGCUUUUUUUUUUUUAAGAUUGAUAAUUUUUAGAAUGGAUCUUUUUCCUAACAACUUAUUUUCUUUCUUUUAAUCUAGUUCGUGAUAAUAUUAUUACGGAGUAUACAUAUAUAUGAUAAGUAUGGUAUUUUUUUAGGGUACAUGUUUGUGUAUUAAAAUGAAGAAAGAUGCUCAUCAAAAUUACAUUGUUAGAUAAUUAAUAAAUAAUUUGUUAAAUAAUUUUUUGUAAAUAUUAUAUAUGAAUGAAGUAAAAAUAAAAAUAUACUACUUCAUCCGUUCAUUAUAAAACUUUCUAUUUUUCUUUUUGAAACGUCCACGAAAAAACUUCAUAUUAUAUUUUUGGAUUAUACCCCAUUUAUUCUAACUUUUCACAUUUUCACUACUCUAAUACUUACAAUACAUUUUUACUACUUUCAAUACACUCAACAACCUCAUUUUAAAACUCAUGUUACUUCCUCCUUUUUUUUCUUUUUUUAUCAUGACAUAGGAAGUAUGUCUUAAAAUAUAAUGAUUAUACCCCUUCGUCCACGAAAAAGAGUCAUAUUUUUUCAUUUUCUCUUGUCCAUGAAAAAUUAUCUUAUUUUACUUUUGAACCACAAAUUCUACUUCUCUCCUAUAUUUAAGUAUAAAUUAUAUUUUUAUUCUAUUUUUAAUUAAGAAUAUACCUUUUUAUUUUUUUGUACCUAUAUUGCCUCUAUAUAUAAAUUAUAUAUUUAUUUUACUUGCAACAAUUUUAAUAAUUUUAUUAAAAUUUAUAUUCAUUUUUAAACGGGAUUUUUUAAUACACGAGGGGAGUAUUUAUUAUGGACCGAGGAAAAUUACGAGUGACACUUGUGUGGAUUGAUAAAUUAUUAAGAUUUGAGUUCUUUCCGUACAGAACUUUAAUAACAAUUGUUGCAUAUAUUUUGCAAUCCUUAGAUUUUNUAUCCCCCUAACUUUGCAUAUUUGCAUCCAUAGUAGUAAGAAUGAAUGCCGUCAAUAAAUAGAGGGUUAAGUGUCUCGAACUUUGGAGCAUUCUUUCAAAAAAUGACUUGAAUUUCGCUUGAGAUGGUAAUUUUUUUUACCUCAUUUAUUAUAUAUUCACACAGACACCUCGCUAGUUAUUUCAAUUUUUUGGUGCCAAAUUCUCGACCAUGAGUCACAAUUUUUCUAUAAAAUUUUGAAUGAAAAUUUAGAUAAUUCUUAAAAGGUGUUUCAAAAUUUAUGUCAUAAACUAUAAUACUUUUAUGCAAUGAUUAAAUCUAACAGAGAAAAAAACUUUAUACAAUGAUUUAUAGUAUUAACUACUUAAGUAUAGAAGGAGUAGGGCAACAAGAUUCCGCCGUGAAAUCUCCUUUCGUAAAUGAUACUCCCUCCGUCCCAAAUAAAAUAUCUUAUUUCUUUUCGGCACGGAAAUUAAGAAAUGUGUAUAAAAUAGAUAAAGUGAGUUGGUGAAAAUUAUUUAAAUAUUAAGUAUAGAGAGACUGUGUAUUGCCAAAAUAGGAAACAUGACAUUUUGUUUGAGACAGUCCAAAAAUGAAAACAUGACAUUUCGUUUGGGACUGAGGGAGUAGUAGUAUAAAGUAAACAUAACACGUGAAAUGAUUUUAGAUGGAUAUAUAGGAAUAGGAAUAGGAAUAGGACUCAGACAAAGGCCUGAAUUUUGUGACAGUAGUAAUUCUUUGGAACCAUCCAAUGUUGUUGGCAUCACGUCACAUCUUAAACCUAUUCCCUGUGAAAAGCCCAAUUUUGAAUAAUUCCCUAUUCAUUUUCAAUUUAUGGUGUCUUUUAUUUUAGGGAGGGAGGUGAAAAAUACAUUCUCUCUGUAUAAAAAGAGAUGCUUAGUGCAUAUUUAUAGGUCUUUAUGAGCUCGAAUAACUAAAUAAUUUAGUUAUUUAUGCAUCUAAUACUUCAAAUUACUUUCCGUCCCACUUAUCUUGAGUAGUUUUCAUUUUGAGCGUCCCAACUAUCUUGAGAUCUUUCUUUAUCUAACAAAAAAUUUAUCCUAUAUUCACAUUUUCACUUUUUCAUCUAUACACAAAACACUACUUUCAUAAUUCUCAUGCCAAAAAAAAGGUCUCAAGAUAGUAGGAAUGAAGGGAGUAUUAAUUAAGAAGGUUCGAGAUAAAACCAACGCUCUCUCUUAUUAUAGUAUUUCUCUUUGAAAAACAACCUCACCUCACCCUUGAGAUAAUUAAAUUUUAAUGAUACAAUAACUAUUCAUUGUAUUUUUUAUCUUACUUUUAUUAAUCAAUUCAUUUUCAAAUAUUAAUAUCAAACAAGUGCUUAGUUUGUUCGGUAUGAGUUUUAAUAAAUGUUAGGUGAAUGUGUUGUAAGUGGGGAAAGUGAGGAUAAAAUAAUAAGGCAUUAGUGGUAGGAUCAUGUCAAAAAAUGGGCUCUUCAUAUUCUUCUGAGACGGACGAACAAGAAAAGUGAGCAAUGAGCAUACUCCGCUGUGAGAGAGGGAGUAUAUUUUGGCUUUUUUAAUUUUUUUUUAAUUUUUUUUUAAGAUUGAUAAUUUUUAGAAUGGAUCUUUUUCCUAACAACUUAUUUUCUUUUCUUUUAAUCUAGUUCGUGAUAAUAUUAUUAUGGAGUAUACAUAUAUAUGAUAAGUAUGGUAUUUUUUUGAGGGUACAUGUUUGUGUAUUAAAAUGAAGAAAGAUGCUCAUCAAAAUUACAUUGUUAGAUAAUUAAUAAAUAAUUUGUUAAAUAAUUUUUUUGUAAAUAUUAUAUAUGAAUGAAGUAAAAAAUAAAGAUAUACUACUUCAUCCGUUCAUUAUAAAACUUUCUAUGUUUUUCUUUUUGAAACGUCCAUGAAAAAACUUCAUAUUAUAUUUUUGGAUUAUACCCCAUUUAUUCUAACUUUUCACAUUUUCACUACUCUAAUACUAAUUACAAUACAUUUUUACUACUUUCAAUACACUCAACAACCUCAUUUUAAAACUCAUGUUACUUCCUCCUUUUUUUUUUCUUUUUUUUAUCAUGAACAUAGGAAGUAUGUCUUAAAAUAUAAUGAUUAUACCCCUUCGUCCACGAAAAAGAGUCAUAUUUUUUCAUUUUCUCUUGUCCAUGAAAAAUAAUCUUAUUUUACUUUUUGAACCACCAAAUUCUACCUUCUCUCCUAUAUUUAAGUAUAAAUUAUAUUUUUAUUCUAUUUUUUAAUUAAGAAUAUACCUUUUUUAUUUUUUUGUACCUAUAUUGCCUCUAUAUAUAAAUUAUAUAUUUAUUUUACUUGCAACAAUUUUAAUAAUUUUAUUAAAAUUUAUAUUCAUUUUUAAACGGGAUUUUUUAAUACACGAGGGGAGUAUUUAUUAUGGACCGAGGAAAAUUACGAGUGACACUUGUGUGGAUUGAUAAAUUAUUAAGAUUUGAGUUCUUUCCGUACAGAACUUUAAUAACAAUGUUGCAUAUAUUUUUGCAAUCCUUAGAUUUUUGAUCGCGCAUUGAUUGCACACGUGCAUGUAUUCCACGUGCAUGUAUUCCGACCUUUAAGUUUCGAUUGGUUGUUUAUGUACUCCUUGAAUAUAUGAUUGAAUGUCGGAAAUGCUGGUAAAAAUAAUAUUUUUAUUUACAAUAAAUCUAUCUAUGCAGUCACGUUGUGGUCACCCACAAACUACUAUAAUAAGAAAAUUUUUGAUUGAUUUAAUUUAUUUUUUUAAAUAAAAAUAGGAUUUAAUUAUUUUAUUAUAUUCUUUAUAUUGUACUUAUUUUUUUAAAAAAAAUUUAUUUGAAAUUUAUUUUUUAAUAAAAAUAAAAAAGUUACCAAAAAAUUGCAAAAAAAUAACUACAAUGUAGAGAAUAUGAUAAAAUAACUAAAUCUUGUUUUUCUAUUUAGGUAAAUUGUGGGUGGCCACAAUGUGGCUGUUUAGCGUUACUCUUUUAUUUAUCCGAAUGUGUAGCACAAUUGGUUUGAACCCGCGCCUUCCGUAUCAAGGUUGCAGGUCCGAUCCUCAUUGCAGGUGAAAUUUUCUGUUCUUUCAUGCUUUCCAACUCAUUCAUUUUUUGUUCUUUAUACAUAAAAUAUCUAGACUUAAUUUAUAAAUUAUCUAUAUUUAUAAUGUAUUUACAUAUCAUAAAUAUACAAUUACUUUAUACGACGUUAAUUUAUACACUAAGUGUAAGGUUCGUAAUUUAUUGAAUGCAUAUAGUUUUUCAUUCUCAUUUUAAAUAAAUGUUCUGAUUUAAACCACGUCAUGUAUAUAUAUAUAGGGGAGGGCUACAGUGAAAACACUUCUUAAAAUAUAUAUAUAAACGUUUUUUAAUGUACGAAUUUUAUCCAACAGAGUUACGAAUUCAUCCAACAUGAUUACGAAUUGUGAAAAAUAAAUUUUUGUUACCUUUUGGAUUCGAACUCAGGACCACGAAUUCAUCCAACAAGGUUACGAAUCAACCGUAGAUCUUGAUGAUCUAAGGGCUGAAAAUCAUUUAUAUUUUAUAAAUUUAAGAGUGUUUUUAUUAUAGCCCUCCCCUAUAUAUAUACUAUAUAAUAUACUCCUUGUGUCCAUGAUAAAACUUUAUAGGAGGGAGUGAUACUGAUUUUAAAACGAGGUUGUUAAAUAGAGUAACAUUUAUGACAAGAAAUACUUUUGUAAUGUGUAAUAAUAUAAAGGGUAAUUGGUGUAUAAAUAUAUGAACUUUAAUCACUUUUUGGUAUUUAAUAUGAACUUUAAUCUUAUUUAUAAAUACAUAACUUUAUUCACUAUUUGUAUUUAACAUGAACUUUUAAAACAUAUUUAUAAAUAAAUGAACUUUAAAUUUAUUCAAUUUUGACUUGUUUUUCAUUUUUCUCAAAUUAAAACUGACUUGGAAUGCAUAAAUUUCGACGUGGACGAUUCGGCGCUGAGAUAAGACAACAUUGCUUUUGGUUAGAGAAUAACAACCCAAAACUAAAAUAUGAAAGUGAACGAUAAAAAAUUGUCUACAAAUUUCACAAAUUCAGAAAGUGAAUUUCGUCUUUAAGAUUUCGGGAUUUUAGAAAGUCAAUUUCGUUAUUCAAAAAGCCAUAUUAAGAAAUAUAGAAUAUAAAAAAUGGGCCGAAAAUUGAAUGGUGAAGAUUAAUUUUUAUAGCGAGAAAUUGUCCACGUCCAGAUUCUGGCAUUCCAAGUCAGCUUUAACUUUGAGAAAAAUAAAAAACAAGUCAAAAAUUGAAUAAGUUUAAAGUUCAUGUAUUUAUAAUUAUAUUUUAAAGUUCAUGUUAAAUACCAAAAGUGAGUAAAAUUCAUGUAUUUAUAACUAGGAUUUAGAGUUCAUGUAUUUAUACACUAAUACACCAACAAGUGAGUAAAGUUUAUGUAUUUAUACACUAAUUACCCUAUUAUAAAAUAUCUUGUUACACGUUUUUUUUAUCGAUUUACAUGAUUUUGUAAAAGCAUGUAAUAGUGGUGAAAAAUGUGUAACAAUGUAUUUUGAACUAUUACACACUUUUACGAAAAAAUGUAUAGCUAUAAAAUACACUUUUACACGAUUUCACGAAAUUGUAAAAAUCGUGUAAAUGUAUUUUACACUGUCACGCACUUUUUUGCAAAAGUAUGUAAUAAUCAGUAGGAGGCGGCGAUCAUAAAGAUACGGCGACAAUGUUAAUUAUAGCUGGAAAGCCGAGAGAGAGAGAGAGAGAAUGAAACCCUAGAGAUUGUGAAUUUCAGAUUGGACGAGAAGGCGACACUAGGACUCGCAAAAGACCAUAACGCUGACUGACCACAACGGUGCCAACUCUACCUAGAACUUUUUAAUGGAGUUCAAGGAGGGCGAGGCAGUGAUGCAGUUGAACCGCCUCAUCCUCAAUUUCAAGUUCGCCUACAAGGAAGUGUCCAACAACGACAAAGACGUCGGCGAGAUCGGCGUCCUUAUCAAAGAGCUUCUUGAUCCAACUUCUUCCGCUGUCCACAAGCUUUUCAACCAUCGAGAAAGAGACAGGGAAAGAUAUCUUGAGGCGAUGCUGCAGCAAAAGAUGGUAGGGAGAAUGUCGACGGCUAGGGUUCAAGGGAAUGGGGUGCGUAGGUUUGGGAGGGUGAUUUUUACAGAUUUUUUGAUUUUUAUUUUAAAAUUAUUAAAGGUAGAAUGUUAUACUCCCUCCAUCCAUCGAAAAUAGUCCUAGAAUGGAACGACACAGGUUUUAAUGAAAAUGGUUUAGUUUAUUGUAAGUGGAGAAAAGGUCUCACUUAAAAGGUAGUGUUAAUAAUAAUAAUUAAUUGUAUUGUGAGUGGAGAAAUUGGCGCACCAUGCGAUAGAAAGUUACCAAAAAUGGAAAGGGACUAAUUUUUGUGGACAUCCCAAAAUGGCAAAAAGAGACUAUUUUUUUAUGGACGGAUUGAGUAUUUACAUAAAAGACUAGUUUUUUUUUAAUUCUUUAUUUUCAUGGAUAUUUUUCUUUUUUCUUACUAAAUGAAAGACAUAAAUUGACC
rnacentral:lncRNA from 1 species